rnacentral:rRNA from 1 species
CGGAGGGGGCGAGCGUUGUCCGAAGUUACUGGGCGUAAAGCGCGCGUAGGCGGGUUGUCAAGUCCGCUGUGAAAGCCCGAGGCUCAACCUCGGAGGGUCGGUGGAUACUGACAGUCUUGAAGGUGCUAGGGGGAGAUGGAAUUACCGGUGUAGCGGUGAAAUGCGUAGAGAUCGGUAGGAACACCAGUGGCGAAGGCGGUCUCCUGGGGCAUUCUUGACGCUGAUGCGCGAAAGCUGGGGGAGCGAACGGGAUUAGAUACCCCGGUAGUCCCAGCCCUAAACGAUGGAUACUAGGUGUCGGGGGUAUCGACCCCCCCGGUGCCGCCGCUAACGCAGUAAGUAUCCCGCCUGGGGAGUACGGCCGCAAGGUUG